CGAAACAAGGCUUUUCUGCAGCCUCCAGCCAGCAGCUUGGCUUCAAAGCUCCAGCACUCCCUCUCGCUGCAGCUGCCUGACUCGUGCCUGCCUGAUAUCACUCAGCCGGCCUGCUUUCAGUUUCAGUGAGUGCAUCUGCGCAGAGGACGGCCGGCCGGGAGCAGCCGUGCUGAGAAGCAGGCAAGAGGGAAAAAGAAGAAGAAGAAGAGUUUCAGGAAGGAAUCCAGAUUGAAAGGGGUCUAGAUAAUCCGUAUCAUCUACAGUAAGACCCUCUGCACCCAGGAGCCUCUGGAACUAGGGAUGUCGAGCUCAAGGGAUAUCAACAACUAGGGAUGUCGAGCUCAAGCUAGUUCGCCAUUGAACUUGGUCAGCUUGUAUGCUCACCCCCGGCUCACCCUCAAUCUGAACCGUAUCUGGUUUGGCUUGAAUUCGAGCCGAACCAGCGGGGUCUGUUUUUUUUUGGGGGGGGGAACUGAACAUUGGACUCAAAGUUUCAUGCACCCCCCUGUCUGGAACCACAUGCUCUUGGGAGAAUUAUGGUUGUCUUCUUACCCCCAGAUAAUAUUAGAAUGUGGAUGGAUUGAUGAAUCGUGGUUUGUUAUAUGAUGUUUUGCUGUUUGUGUUUGGAUUAAUUUUGUACUGCACUGUAAAUUUUAUUCUAAUAAAGUUGUGGAGCCGGGGGGAUGAGAUGCAGGA